GUUGUGGCUCAGUGGUAGAGCAUUUGCUUAGCACAUGUAGGGCACUGGGUUCAAUCCUCAGCAUCACA
rnacentral:tRNA from 1 species